GUUGGAGGGGAUCGUUGGAGAGGCCGAUCGCCGGAGGAAACCGAGCGCCGGAGCCGAGAACCAGUCGGCCGUGGAGGAAGCCGGAAAGCCUCUCCUCCCUUCCCCACAAACCGGGAGAAAAACUUUGGACCCGUGCGGGGAAAAUCCGAGUUUCCUCUCCGAUUCCUCGCCGGAAAGAUCACCGGAGCACCUCGUCGGGCUGAGGGGAAGAGUCAGCGGUGCCAGGAGGUUUUGAUCAGGGGACUCAGCACCCCAGCUCGUAGGUUGUAAUCCAGAUCUGUGUUUGAGUCUGUCUACAAUUUCGAGUUGCAGGAUGCAUAGUUUUGGAUGGGAUGGGCGCAGAGUGCGAGCACCAGAGUCAUUA